UACGGGAGGCAGCAGUGGGGAAUAUUGGACAAUGGGCGAAAGCCUGAUCCAGCCAUGCCGCAUGAGUGAAGAAGGCCUUCGGGUUGUAAAGCUCUUUUAGUGAGAAAGAUAAUGACGGUACUCACAGAAGAAGUCCUGGCUAACUCCGUGCCAGCAGCCGCGGUAAUACGGAGAGGGCUAGCGUUAUUCGGAAUUAUUGGGCGUAAAGAGCGCGUAGGCUGAUUAGUAAGUUAAAGUGAAAUCCCAAAGCUUAACUUUGGAAUUGCUUUUUAAAACUGCUAGUCUAGAGAUUUGAAAGAGGAUAGAGGAAUUCCUAGUGUAGAGGUGAAAUUCGUAAAUAUUAGGAGGAACACCAGUGGCGAAGGCGUCUAUCUGGUUCAAAUCUGACGCUGAGGCGCGAAGGGCGUGGGGAGCAAACAGGGAUUAGAUACC
rnacentral:rRNA from 1 species